GCAACAAAAACUCGUAGUCCUUGAGGUAGGCAGAUCAAGGAAGGAGAAGCAGCAGACUUAUCCAGAACAGAUAAAGAAGCCAUCCAAGGAAAAAUAGGUACAGAACUUUGUGCUAACAAGAUUGCUCACCCUUGCCCCUGCCAGACUUAAACUUCGUCAAUUAUUUCAAACACUGAAAACCAGGUUACUUCACUCCCAAAUGUCCACAUCUAGCAUCUUCUUGUAACAGCACGAAGCACAGAGAAUUAUCACAAUUUGGUAUCACUCAGCCACCAGAAAAGAACUGGUUGCACACCAGUCAUCUAUAAUGGUAAGCAUAUGUAAGUCCCUUUUUAGUAAUACACAGUAAUUAUUUUCAGUAAAAUAAUGUCCAAGUCUAGCCUUAGAUGUAUUUAUUAAAAUUAGUCUACUAUUUUGCAAUGAAAUCAUGUUGUCAAGACACUGCAAUCUAUAAUGAAUGACACAACGUGGUAAUUGCCAGCCUUCUUCUCUUAUCGCUGUCCAUUUAUAAUAAUAUGAAAGGAGCUCCAUGCUGCAACAGAAAUUAAGUCCUACACAUAAUUAUUAUAAGUAAGACUUCUAUAAUAUCUUCACAUAGAAAGAUAACUCCAUCAGUCUUUGAAAGGGAAUGCAUAUUUAAUUAAGGGGAAAUAAAACUUUAUGUCCAGAGGAGGAACAUGACUUGUACAUAAAUACGUGACUACUAUUUUUGCACAAAAUCUGGUUUCUAAAGCAUAAGCUAUUCCUUUACUAGAUGGGGAAAAGCAGAAGAAAAGUGUUUAAGCCACAGCUGUAAAACCCUCUAUAAAUUUUCAAGGUGUUUGUGAGAACAAACCUAUCAUCUACCCAUCUAAUUUAUUUUGAUUAUGCAUCACCAGAAAGCAAACAGUAUUAACCAUGGUAAUUCUCAGUAGUUAUUUACAGCUAAUGGCAGACUCCAGUUCAUUCAUGUCCCCGUUAAAAAGUACACCAAAGAAAUGAAAA